AUAAUGACCAUUCAAAAGAAAAUGGGCAUAUGCUACACUUCAAAGAUUCUUCAUCAAUAAGUUCUCAUUUGGAAAAACUGUGACUGUACAUUUAACACUCCAACAAAAUUUAACUCUAGUGGCAUUAUUUUAGUGCCAUUUAUAACAAAUGUUGCCUAAGAUCUUGAAUAGUAUCCAAAACUUACACCUUUAGAUGACAUAUCAUUAAAUGCCACCAGCAAAUGCCACUAAAGGCCCUUUUUCACCAAGCGGGAUUCUAUAUUAUAAUGCCACUUUGCCCAAAUUUUUUGAAUGACCAAAAUUUUUUGAAUGACCAAAAUUUUUUGAACAACCCAAAUUUUUAUCUUUUCAUUUCAAUUAACCCACAACUUUCCAAUAUCUUCAUCUGAUUCCUUUUCCUCCUUCCUAAACUACAAGUACCUUUCUUCCCUAAUCUUGAAUUGUAUUGGUCUAUUUCAUUAUUUUGCAGAUUUUUUUUCUUCGAGAAAUUGAGUUCUCUAAAUUUAGGUAUAAUACAUUCUUCUCAAAUUUAUGUGAUUCAAUUUAAGGGUUUGAGUGAUUAUAAUCAUUGUCACAACUUUGUUAGAUUUUUAGAGGUAUGCUAGUCAAUUCUUCUUUCAUUAUCAUUCUUCUUGCUACUUAUAUUCAGAAUUCUUAGUAUCCUUGUCAGAUCUGCAGCAGCCAUGUAUUACAUGGUUUCUAAACAAGGUUGUAGCAGCGAAUGACGACGCUUGAAAGUAAACAGCUCCGAGAACUGAACGACACCGUGAAUUCUUCAUCCUUUAAAGGUGUUGAAAGAUACAAUUGGAGACAUCUUUGUUCAAGAUUUUGUAAUGCUUAAUGACGUUGUCUUCCAAUUUUUUGUUUAUUUCAGAAGUAGUAUAUUGAUACUUGUAUAGAAAUAGCUUAAUAGACACUAGAUUGGUUCAUAUAUAUGACGAUCUUAUGUAUAUUGUUCAAUAUAUGAAGUAUAUGAAAUGCUGAAGUACUUUGCCAAUAAAAUUUUCAUUUGUGUAUACAACCCAAA